rnacentral:ncRNA from 1 species
AUAUCAAUAAGCGGAGGAAAAGAAACCAACAGGGAUUGCCCUAGUAACGGCGAGUGAAGCGGCAACAGCUCAAAUUUGAAAUCUGGCUUCGGCCCGAGUUGUAAUUUGCAGAGGAAGCUUUAGGCGCGGCACCUCCUGAGUCCCCUGGAACGGGGCGCCACAGAGGGUGAGAGCCCCGUAUAGUUGGAUGCCUAGCCUGUGUAAAGCUCCUUCGACGAGUCGAGUAGUUUGGGAAUGCUGCUCAAAAUGGGAGGUAAAUUUCUUCUAAAGCUAAAUACCGGCCAGAGACCGAUAGCGCACAAGUAGAGUGAUCGAAAGAUGAAAAGCACUUUGAAAAGAGGGUUAAAUAGCACGUGAAAUUGUUGAAAGGGAAGCGCUUGUGACCAGACUUGCGCCGGGCUGAUCAUCCGGUGUUCUCACCGGUGCACUCUGCCCGGCUCAGGCCAGCAUCGGUUCUCGCGGGGGGAUAAAGGCCCUGGGAACGUAGCUCCUCCGGGAGUGUUAUAGCCCGGGGCGCAAUGCCCUCGCGGGGACCGAGGUUCGCGCUCUGCAAGGAUGCUGGCGUAAUGGUCAUCAGCGACCCGUCUUGAAACACGGACCAAGGAGUCAAGGUUUUGCGCGAGUGUUUGGGUGUAAAACCCGCACGCGUAAUGAAAGUGAACGUAGGUGAGAGCUUCGGCGCAUCAUCGACCGAUCCUGAUGUUCUCGGAUGGAUUUGAGUAGGAGCGUUAAGCCUUGGACCCGAAAGAUGGUGAACUAUGCUUGGAUAGGGUGAAGCCAGAGGAAACUCUGGUGGAGGCUCGCAGCGGUUCUGACGUGCAAAUCGAUCGUCAAAUCUGAGCAUGGGGGCGAAAGACUAAUCGAACCAUCU